UUAAAUUACAAUCCAAUGAAAGGUGGGAUUUCAAUAGCCUGCUGUAGCAAGUGUUUUUUUUGGCACGUGGUUACACAAAAGCUAAAAAAAAAAAUCAGGAAAAAAAUGGAAUGAGACCCAGAUAGAAUCUGGGUAUUAAAGAAAGGGAGGAAGAGAAAAUAAAUAAAUAAAAACAAAAGAAAAAGAAAAAGAUAGUAGCAGAAAGAAAAGGAAAGAUAAAGCCAAACUGGAAGGUAUAUCCAUCUGCAAUAGCACAAGGAGUUAGAUAUAGUUCCCUGGUAAAAACACAUUAGCAUGUCCUUUCAAAUUUGCACAUGAUGCAUUGGUAGAGAAACCUACAUAUCGAAUAAAGAACUGAAAACAUACCACUGAAAGAAAUGAAUGGGUGACUCAGACGUGAAAAUAAGAUUGAAGAUAAUUUCAAUAGACAUACAAAAAUAUUGCUAAAUUCCUGUUGCAAAAGAGCAGAGCAUGAAGAUCAUAGAUGCAGGUGAUUAUCAGCUUCACAUUUCAAGCGAUCUUAUUCGGGUUUGCCUAAAUCAGUUGUCCGUCAAAAGAAAUUUAGGACCCUUACUGCUGGGAUAACACUUACCGACAGCAGAAAUUGUAGAGAGAGAUUGUAGAAUAUUCACUUCAGAUUGUAGAGAGAGAUACCUUGGGUUAAUAUGAAUGGCCGACGUCCUAAAAAGAGAAACCUUUUGGAGAAAAUAUUGUUACUAAACAGACCUGGUAAUAUUGUACACGACACAAGAAAAAUAGCUAAAAUACAGUAUUACACAAGCACAAAUACAUAUCAAAAUCAAUAUAACACCAACCAUUUUAAAAUGUCAAAACUUAUAAUAAAUACAUGACACCUUAAACAUGAUUAUGACAUAGAAAACAAAUGAACAAGCCUUGAAUACACAAAUUGCAAAUUCUAAAACUAAAUUAUUUCAUCGGACAUCUUUGAGCCUUAUGUUUGUUUCAUUACACACCUUACAAGUGUCUUAGUGAUUGCAAUAAGUUGAUGGAUUGAAAUAACUUGGUGAUGAGCUUUUUAAUUCCAGACUCGGUGACAUAUUUUCUGUUCAUUGGGAAGGUCAUCUAUUUUGACUCAAGGAAGGAGGGGUAUAUGCAAUUUAACUCUAAAGACAAUUUCUUCCAACAAGGAUGAAUAAUGGAUAUUGCUUUAAGGUUUUAUUAGGGUUUUUCAUUGUACGGAUAAAUUUAGAAGCUCAAUUUAUCUCAUGGAUUUAUUGCCUAUACCUAUCAAUACUUGCAUAUCAAGUUUUAAGGUUUUCCUCAGCAUUGAUGUUCUUUCAGUUCCCCACCUUCUUGUAACCACUAAGACUCUGUUAGUCUUUACCACCAGAAUUUCUCGAUACAAUUUCCAUUUAAUUUCACUCCUAUUUUCCUUCUCUUUCUUUUCCUCAUACAGCAUCAAGAGUGAGCAAAACGCAAAAGGCAAAUCAAAUUGACAAUACUUGAGCAGCAUUCUUUUAACAAUACUCCAUACUUUUUUUCCAAAUUAAUACCCAGCCAUAAUUGUAGUUUCCUCUAUGAUAGAGGGCAUAUAUCUUUACUGCUCAGUUAGUCAUGAGGACAAAAAAAUUUGUACCUUAGACAAACCAGUUAGGCCAUCCUUUAAUUUUGGAAUAAUUAAAAUGUGCGUAGGAGCCUGGGGAGAUAUGUCCCUAAAAGCUAAGACCUACAAACAAAAAAAAGGCAAACAAACAUAAUGUUAGCACAAAUGAAUGUCGAAUAAACUUAAACCUAGCAGAAAAGAAUUAACAUAUUAACCUAAAGAAACAGCAAGAAUAUAUUCGUGUGAACCUGCCCCCAAACAGAUAAAUAAAAGGUGAAUGCAUGAUUCACACAGAAAACAAUAACAUAAAUUAACAUUCGCAAAUAGAAAUCAAACUAAGAGGUUAAAAAGCUAAAACUUUCAACCUCAGAUUAUAGUUUUGCAAACAAAAACUAUAAUCAUAGCUGAAGAUUUUCAUGCUUCACGUUUGAUAUUUUGUUAUCACGUUUCAGUUAAUGUUGAUCAAAUAUCAGAUAUCAGCUAGUGUUAACAGAAAGGACAACACAUUAUCUUCGAUUGUCACCUAUUUAACUGCUCAACAUGCCAAAAGCCCAAGCCCGCCUGACUAGAAGCUACAGAGAAAUGAAAGGGCCUAACCCCGAGCCUAACGCAAAACUAAAGGCUAUUUCUUAGCAAAUUAACAUGAGAAAUCAUUGAUCCAUAUUUGGAGAUCAACCAAAUCCAAUCCAACCAAAUUAACUAGAAAAAAUUAAAAAUCCUAACUCAAAACUGACACAAAAGUCUAUCAAAGAUUAUUCAAACUCAAGGAAACUUUCCAAUUGCUACAUAAUUGUAAGCAACAGACUAAAAUGAAAAAGAAAGUUACAAAAAUAUGAACAAAUGAAAGAAGAUAAGAUUCACUUGAUAGUUCCAAAUUAAGUAGUUCCUGAAGAGUCCAAGACUUAGUCCGAUAACAAACUGUUGAUGACCUUCUCAUCCAGGUCUAUAUCGAAUUAAUCACAAUUCUAUAAAAAUAUUUGUAAAAUUUACCAAAGAGCUUAAGUUAUGUUCUAGCAUCUCCAAAUUUCAUCUAAAAAUAAUCAAUGAAAUACUGUGCAGAGACCAAAAUAUUGAUUAUAUGUUUUAACUUAUAAAAUGGAUAAGACAAAAAAUGUAUACAUUGAAUACUAAGAUGCUAAAAUAAUUCAUACCAUCAUUUAUCAUCAAUAAUAACAUUUGAAGAAAAGAACAAUUAAGGCCAUAUUUCUUUUGUUACCAAUAAAAUAUCUUUUACUAGAAAGUCAUUUAUCUCUUCACUUAAAAAGGGAGAAAAAAAGAAAAAUGAAGAUACCAAAAAGGUGCUAAGUACAUGUGUCAGAAAGAUGAAAUGAAGCAGGAAAACGGUCGUUGUAAAGAGCAGAGAUGUAUCACAUUACAGAAGAGAAGAUGCAUAAAACGUUUGAGAAAGGAGAGACAAAUUGAGAAGGUUGGUCGGAAUUAAAAAUAUACAAAGUGUUUGCCUAAUAAAAUAAAAAGGCUUAUUGUAAAAUCUUUACCAGAAGUGAUAGCCUUAAAGCUUUCAGCCAAUGGAAGCAAAAUUCAAACCUAUUUAAAAUUUUCUUCAGUGCAACAGAGUACUGAUAGUUCUUUGUUAAGAAAGAAAUAAAAUAAUAAGGAUUUUUCAUUAAGGCUGCAAUAAACAGCAAAAAUCACAUACAUCAACUUCAAAACAUCAUACCAAACAAUCCCCUAGCUGCUAAUCCACACAACCUCGACAGCUUCAAUACAAUUUCCUACAAUAUCUUUACCUGAUUCAAACCACCUAAUCAAGCAUUGUUACAUACAAUAUCUCUACCUGAUUCAGCUCACCUAAUCAAACUUUGUACAUUAGAUCUCUAAUUUUAGUUGUGCAUCUGCGGACAUAUUCCUGAUUUUGCUAAUGCCAACAACAUUUUGAUUAACACACAAACGACAACAAAUUAAUUUGCACGUAUGAGAAUGACAUUUCAUGAAACUAAGCUCUGAGUAGUGAUUAUCUCCACAAAACUCAUCAUGAAACAAAAUAUCAAGCAUGCAAAUGUAAAACAUGUUUCUUUGCCCUGGCUUGAAAAUCAUAAAGGCCCUCACUUGGUUGGAUAAAACCAAAAGCAUUUGUUUUUAGAAGAAAUGGUAGCUGUUAAAAGUCUUUAUGAAGGCUCUUAAAAAAAUGUUACUAGAUGUCGAAGCUCGUAAUAUAAGCACUUAUGAAAAGGAAACAUGAAUAAGAUUCAAAUGUUGAAGCAGAAUAUUCACUAGGAAAACAAAACAUUAAAAGACGACUAUCCUAUCAGAUCUUCUGAAAAACUUCAAAUAAGCAUAUAUCUAAAGAUAAACAUCAAACACAACUUUCGAUUUUUUAGAUCACCAGAAAACUUUCAGUUAAUGAACAGAGCACUUACCAAAUCUUCCCAGGUGAUUCUGGCUUGACAUUGGGGGUCACUGCAUUGUCAGUGGACUCUGGCUUUACACUAGUUGUUACAGCACUAUUGAUGGACCCUCAAUUCACACUGUGGGCUCCUGCAUUAUUCACAAGCUUGCAUUAGUUUUUAAAUUUGGCCAUUCUGGAACAACAGAGCAAAGGCCAACGUCAGCUAGAAAACAUAGGUAAAACCCCUAAGCUCUGUUAUUUUCUGUUGACCUGAACUUGAGUGGAAAUACACAUUGGUUAAAUUCGCAGUAGGUUUCCAAUGACAUAAAUUUGUUCACGUUAAGUUGAUAAUAAACAAAACUAUUAUACAAUUGUUAAAUUUUUUAUGAUUUUUAAUUUUUUUUUACAUAAUUAUAAUUUUAAAAUUGUUUUUUUAAUUUCAAAUAAUAAAUAGUAAAUUUUCAGAAUUUUCAAGAUUUUUUUAUACUUAAAAUUUUUUAAUAUUUUAAAUUUAUUACUAAAAAUAUUAUUGAAGUACCAAAAAUGGAAUGUAUUAGCUAUAAUUCAGAGAUGAAAUUUUAUAUUUAACCUUAAAUUAAUGCGGCUAUUAAUAAACAAAGCGACCAAAACCUUAUAUUUCAAUGGCAAAAAAAUUAUCACCAAAGUUCAAUGACCAUUUUAGUUAUCUCAGACCCUUUAGUAUGUUGAAAUUAUAAUUUAAAAUAUAAAUACACACAAUAGAACCGGUGGACUAAAGCUGCAAUUAUUAUGCUAAUAACACCGGGGGAAAUGGGAUUUCCAAUUUCAUGUCAAUGGUUCAAAACUUAAUUGACUUGGGGUCUUUUCCCGGGUUCUCUGGACAUCGAAAUUGGUGAAAUCUUUCCAAGGUUGGAUUAGCUCCAGGUGGGGCAAGGCAACCGCCCUUCCACAGGAUCAGGCCAUCAUUAUCAGAGAAAUGAAACAUUACACAUUGACAGAUGGAGUAGUUGCUGGGAUUAGCAAUAGCAAUUGCAAAAGAGCUUAGUUCAAUUCUAGGCAGUUAACAAAAAAAAAAAAAAAAGAAAGAGUCGCCACCAUUUUCUGCUACUUAAAAGUGUAUCGAUUAGAGAAAACCAGAAAACCUAGAAUCUCCUGUUACCCAAUCUCCAACUCUAUUUAUAUUUUUUCAACUUGUUGAUGACGAUAAAAAUGUCCAAGGCAAGGCAUAAUCAAAUGUUCCAUUUCCCUUCCUUGCAACUUUCUCUAGCUAAACAAAUUGAACAACAUAGCUAUUUUUCCUACCUGCUUAGAUUAUCCCCACCUUACUCUCCUCUAUUUAUAGCUUUUCCCUCCUCAACCUUGGACCUUUCAUUUCUGUUCCUGCAUUGAGCUCUGAUUCAAACGUUAUACAUGAAUCCAGAACAUCAAGCAUGGCAGUUCAAACUUUAAUAUGCAUAUAUGUAUAUAUAUUAAAAAAACCGUAUGCUAAAAUAAGAUAUACCUUCUGUUCUGUCCCGCUUUGACAAGGAAGUGGAAUUUCUACAUCACACUCAUAUCUAGUAGCAAUGAAAAGCCUUAUCUCAGCAUCUUCCUUGACAGAGGGCAAGGAAAAAAGAGUGAUGGCAAAUUGGAAAGAUGAAAUCUGAGUAGGUUAUAGUUACCCUUUGCUCUCUCCUUUCUCAUGGAUCUUAACAGAUGGUGAUGUUUUCACACCAAGGCUUCCCUUUGUUUCUAGAGUUUCAUCUUUUGCUUCCUUGAAUUCAUCCUCCUUGUUAUUGGGAUUUGAACCACCCAUUACUAUGGGCUCCUUUGAAAGGAAUAAAUCAUUUCCAAAGCAAUUUUCCAUUUCAAAUUCUAACUGUUCGCAAUUGGCUGGUGGGGACUUUGAUUUUCUUUUAUCAUCUCCAUUAACUCGUCCUCGUACUGAUAAAUCAAGAAAUCCAAUCUCUCUAUGUUGAUCAGCAUCAAACAAAUCCAAAGGAACACCUUGUCUUCCUGAAUCUGGAGAUAGGACAUGCUUGAUUGAUCCAGCCCUGAUAUUUGAGAAUACAGGAGAAUCAAAAGAGUUUGUUUGAUUCAAUGGUUGGCAAAAAGCAAACUUCUCAGAUGUGAAACAGCUAAAAGGCAAACAGUGAAUAGAUUCACUGUGCUUAGGUGCAUUAAAGCAAGAUUUGACAUCAAGAUUCAGUUCAGGAACAGGAAAAGCACCAAUAGGAUCUUCAGCCCACAGCUGGGAUCCUACAGAUGGAAGGUUUGCCUGUGAGGUGCAAUGGGAAGAACUGAAACCCAAAUCUAUAUCAACUGCAUUGCAUCCUUCCUCAAGCAACCAUUUCUGAGAUAGUUCUAUUCCCGCUUGGAGACAAUAGCUUGCACGCUUGGUUGCUUUUGACUUGUGCGGAACUGGAGUCCUCAUAUAUUUGCCAGAUGGUUGCCCAAGAUUAUCUCUGUCUUCGCAACGUGUUUCCUUGCCAAAAUCAUUGUCCAAAUCAUACUUCAUUCUGGUCCUACCAAAUGUACUACAUAUUCUUCUGCUCUGCCUAGGCAUUAGAUUUGGAGGUGAACUGUCUAUCGUUUCACCCCUAACUGCAAUUAAAUAUUUUAAAUGCUUGCUUAGUUUCACAAGAGGAGCUUUUCAUUAAAGACUACAAAAUGACAAUGAAUUGUCAAAGCAAUUUAUGAAAUCAAACGUAACCUGCACUAGAAGAGCAUGAUUCUUCACUGCUAAAGCUUUGAGGGAGGGAGAGAGAGAGAGGAAACAUGUAAGUUAAAGUAGUACCUUCCAACCAAAUCACCUUACAACAAAAAGUAGCUAUAAUUUACCUCAGCAAGCUCAUGCUAUCCUUUGAAUCUUCAGUCUCAAUAAAAGGCCAACCUGGUUGGGCUGGGAAAUCUCUUAUAUCAUAAUCCGUUUGAAUUGGGUUAUACCUGCCACUAUAUCAAAGCAACCGUUCUAUUUAGAAAAUUAAAUAACAAGAAGGCCAAUUUCCCAAGUACCUUUGGAGGGAAAUCUCAUACCUUUCCCAAAUUAAAGUUGUCAAAUCAUGACCAACUUUAGAUGAUAAAUGCUUUGGAAAAGGAUCUGAUUGUGGAAAAAGAGCAAGAAUUAGAGGUGGAUGGAAAACAUUCUUAAUCACAAUUCUAAUCAUAGAUGCAUCAAGUAAAGAAUAAUAACAUGAAAGAAAUACGGCAACCACACUUUCACAUUUAACUCCUCCUUCUUGGAGGUAAAUUGAGCCAACAAUCAUCCCAAGAAUCUGGAGAUUUCCCCCACAGAAAAUUCUCAGUCAGUGAAAUAGCGCACUCCAAAUUCUUAAAAGACAAAGGGAUGACGCCAUAUCAUAAUUUGUGUUCAAAGUUAGCAUAUGCAGCAAAAAACCAAUAACAAAGCAAUAAUUAUAAACUAAUUUGUCCUGUUAAUAUUAAAUAAAAAGUGUUGAGUUAAACUAUUCCAUAAAUUGAAUGAGAAAUAGCACCUAAACUAUUCAAAUUUGUUGCUUUGACACCCCUGCAUAGAUGUAAUGAAUUCAUCAAAAAGAAAAGGUAUACUCCUAUCUCUCAGAACAAGGAAAUGUUCACUGUUGAUUGCUAACCUUUUCCUCAGCAUUUGAUGCCCUUCAAAAGCAUUAUCUGGCAUCUCACCAUUUUCAUAAUCCAAAAAAUCUCCAGAAUUACCAUCUAUUUUGUGUGGCCAGUAUUUCCAAGAAAUGUCAUCUUCCCUUUCAUGGGGAAAGCCAUCAUCUUGGUAGCUAACUUUAGCCGACAAACAUAAAAGAAAAAAAGAAAAUGACAUGUUGCACCAGAGAAGCCUUCCACAGUAUAAUAAUAUCUAAAUAUGAGAAAAGCUUUGUGAAAAAAAGAACUAGUUCAAAAUAGUACUUAUUGACAUAGAGAACAAGAAUGAUAGUCUGCCGCAAGAGAUAUUCCCAUUAUUAUGAUUAAGUCACAGACUUGAUGAAGGAGAUGGAUAUGACUAACAUAAAAUCUAUGUUUGAAACAAUAAGUGAAGAUAGGCAAAAGAAUUUCUGAAUAUCUUAAUCACAAGUUGGUGCAAUGUGUAAAAUGAACAAUAAGAAUUGUGAUUCAUGAACAAAACAACCAACACUGACUAAAGCUGAGACUCACCAUCCCAUAUAUCUUCCCUUCCUAUAUUGUAGGAAAUGUCAGUGUCACUAAAAAAGCACUUGCUAUUUCUGUAAUGGCUGUCAAGUUGCAUGUCGUCAGAGAAAGUGGAGAGGUUUGGCUUCCAAUUGCCAUGUGAAUCAGUUAUAUCGACUGAGAACUGCGAAUGACUGCCACCAAGUGGAACAUCCAUGUCCUGCAUCAUAGCAUCCUGCAUUUAGCACAUGAUAAUAAUAAUCCUUCUCUACCAAAUUUAAGAUAAGAAAUUUGAGUUUAAUUUUCAGGAGAAUAUAAUACAUUCAAUUUGCAAAAAGAAGCAAAUGAAGAAAAAGUGAGCAUUUCAUUUGAUAGUCCGAUCCCAUCAUUUAAGGUUAAACAACAUUAAGAUGCACAAUCACAAACAUGAUAUUCUUGGGAGGCUAAUGUUGUAAAAGAAAAGAGGUUUAAUGUGAAGGUUAUUUUUCAAGGAAAAGAUUAAUUUAGAGCAAACAUAGAAAUAAGAAACUGAGUAUCAAUUUGUUCUCUCACCACUUCUAGUUCAAUAUCAUUUAGCACAAAGUUAGAACCCCUCAAUGAGUUUAGUUGCCUUGAAAAGUUCCACGGUAAUGAGCAAUCAUCAGAAGAGAUUCUACAAUAGCAGAAAGUUAAGAUCUGUUUAGAUAAAAUUUUACCACUCCUUAAUUCUAUAACUUUUAGUUUACCAGGAAAUACAUCAUAUAAACUUUGUUCAAACAAACAAUUAGCACUCAGCUGCUGAAGAAUGUGUCAGUCUCAUAGAAUCUAAAAUAUAUAAGUUGUGUGAUAGACAGAAGUAAGUUGAACAUAGUCCAUAAGAAGAUACAAAAGAAUAGAAGAUAUUAAUAAAUGAGAACUGAAGACUACAAAUCUCUCAGUAGUUUUCACUCUUGAGCAGUUGUACAAAAACUUCGAACUGUUUGGCUUCAUGCCAUGAAAAGAACUUAACUAUUUACCACUUAGAGGGCCAAAUGAAGUAAAGGAAUCUUCCUGGGAGGUUUAUCAAUGACGCCUUUUCAGGGAAAAAAAAUUUGUAAGAAUGAUAGAAGGAUAUUCUCAGGCACACCUUAAAUACAUCCUACACCAGUUAAAUGUGUCAUAUCAGUUAUAUAAGUAAUAUUGCACUUUACCAGUCCAUACCUCAACAAACAAUUAACUUUGAAGUGCAACCAGAUUUUCUUACACAUCAUAUCACACCUAUCAAAAAGAAUUCCAGGUUGGUGAUAAACAUAUUUAUUUUCUUUGGAAAUCUCAUAUUCCCUUCUUUUAUGAUGUAGGUAAACCACAAAUUUGAAUUUAGAGAAACAAUUAAUUGCUGCUUGCAAAUAGAAGUACCAUUUUAAACGGAAAAUAGAUUCAUGAAGUAUGCAGCUCAUGGAAACAACAUGACACAGAAAGUAGUCUAGGAAACUAAAACUAACUGGUAUUAGAACAACCAUCUAGCGAGUGAAUAGGGAAUAUGAGAGAUCUUGCAGAUUAUCCAUUACCUGCCCUCUUGCUUUGGUGAGUGCAAUGGAGUCUUUGGUCUGAUCUUACCUAAACCUGAUAAACCAGAAUAAAUUUGGGUAAUACCAUGUUAUUAGGAUGUUGAAAUUUGAAAACCAAUAUCACUGCAUCAGUAUCAUGAUAACAUAGAAAACAAGUAAUUAAUCAAAGUUGAGACACCUUCUUUAGUGAUGCACUAGCAGGUUAAUUAGAGCCUAAAUGAGUAAGGAUAACUGUAAUUCCUACUCUACACGCUAGCCACUUUCUUUGUUACUAUUCUAUUUAGAAGUUAUCCACUUAUCUUCUGGCGAUUCCUACAGUGUCCAAUUUUUGGCUUACUGUGGUUCUUUUAUUUAUAUUUAUAAGCAAUCGUAAAAUUAACUCUUCGUUUCAAACAACAAUAAAUUUCAAAUAAAAAGAGGAAACUUCAUGAAAAACAGUUGUUUAUGUAAGUUUGCUUAUAGUUCCUUUGGAAAAUCGACUUCUGCAUGACCUACUACCUUAAUGACUCCCUCCAUUGUUAAUGUAUCAUACCUUUAACUGAAAAUGCAACAUGAGCUUCAUGAACCAGACUUCUUUCUGAACCCACCUCUGAUUCAUCAUUAAUAAGCAUGUCGAAAACAGAUAAUUCUGGAAAAGUAAACGAUGGAAAGAAAAUUUGAAGAGAACUAUAUAUUUAGUUAACAACAUCAAGAAAAAAGAAUCCUAAUAGUAUGCCGGAGUUACAUAUUGCAAUAAGAAAAUAAUAUACUUUUUUGGCUAGCUACAAUCCUGUCAGGACAUUUGGAAAUUGUAAACCAAAUUAGUUGAGAUCUUGUAUAUAACCAAUAGUCCAACAUUACAACUUACGAUUCUCAGCAGAUGCAUUCCAGAGAUCCAAACUAUCAUUGGAAGCAUUUAAAUCAUGAUUAUCAUGAUCGCUAAAUGAAAUCCUGCGCAGCAAAACAAGCAUUAGCUUUUCACACUGUCAGCAAGCGUUCUUGAUGAUUUGAGAGAGUAGUCUUCAUUUUAGUCAAUGUACAAUUAUUAUCUCAAAAUAUUACAUUGCUUAAGCUUUCUUUAUUUUUUUGGUAAAAGCAGAUGCAAUAGUAAUUGAACAUUAACAUCAAGUUGUUAAUAUAAAUAAUUGUAGCUAUGUUUAAAUUUUUGCAGGUUUCUCUGACUAGCACCACCUAAAUCAAAAGAGAUUUGCUGUUUAUGUGUAAUAGAGGAUAUUUUUAGUCACAUAAAUAUGAUUUCAGCGCAACAUAAAGUAUUGACCUACUUUGGGCAUUGUAACUCUCCUUGAUAGCAUGCUGGUGGAGCACCUGCACCAGCAAAUGGCAUUUUGCACUGAAAACCCAUGGAUUCCAGAGAAGUUACAUCCUAGUUCACAAAGUUAUGCACAGAGAUAUUAACCGAUACCUGCUUCCUUGAUUUUAACAGAAUAAGAAGGGGGUACUGAACUUGUAAUGAUCUUUGCUGGAUCCUCUGGCAUUUGAUACUUAAUUGUCGAAGGACCAGACUUACAAUGACUUCCUACUUAGUUAAAAACAAAGAAUACAAGGGAGAAAAACCAAGGCUGGUCAAAAUUUGAACAACAGCAUAAAAUGAAACACGCCAUCCAUGUAUCAAAAAGUAGUGAUCUCUAGUGAGGCACUUCCUAUGACUAGCAUAUAGUGGCCCUAAUACAUAUGUCUAUGAAUAUUGAGAUAGAUAUAGUUCCCUGGUAAAAACACAUUAGCAUGUCCUUUCAAAUUUGCACAUGAUGCAUUAGUAGAGAAACCUACAUAUCGAAUAAAGCACUGAAAACAUACCACUGAAAGAAAUGAACGGGUGACUCAGACAUGAAAAUAAGAUUGAAUAUAACUUCAAGAGACAUACAAAAAUAUUGCUAAAUUCCUGCUGCAAAAGAGCAGAGCAUGGAGGUCAUAGAUGCAGGUGAUUAUCAGCUUGACAUUUCAAGCGAUCUUAUUUGGGUUGCCUAAAUCAGUUGUCCGGCAAAAGAAAUUUAGGACACUUACUGCUGGGGUAACACUUACCGACAGCAGAAAAAGUUGAGAGGUUUAGCAAGCUGAGGAUAUCC
rnacentral:lncRNA from 1 species